rnacentral:rRNA from 1 species
UUGGAGGGCAAGUCUGGUGCCAGCAGCCGCGGUAAUUCCAGCUCCAAUAGCGUAUAUUAAAGUUGCUGCAGUUAAAAAGCUCGUAGUUGAAUUUCGGGACCAUCAUGUCGGUCGUGCCUCGGUACGUACUGGUAUUGUUGGUUUCUCCCUUCUGACGAACCAUGAUGUCAUUUAUUUGGUGUUGUGGGGAAUCAGGACUGUUACUUUGAAAAAAUUAGAGUGUUUAAAGCAGGCUCACGCUUGAAUACAUUAGCAUGGAAUAAUGAAAUAGGACGUUUGAUUCUAUUUUGUUGGUUUCUAGGAUCGACGUAAUGAUUAAUAGGGAUAGUUGGGGGCAUUAGUAUUCAAUUGUCAGAGGUGAAAUUCUUGGAUUUAUUGAAGACUAACUACUGCGAAAGCAUUUGCCAAGGAUGUUUUCAUUAAUCAAGAACGAAAGUUAGGGGAUCGAAGACGAUCAGAUACCGUCGUAGUCUUAACCAUAAACUAUGCCGACUAGGAAUCAGACGAUGUUAAUUUUUUAAUGACUCGUUCGGCGCCUUACGGGAAAC